rnacentral:rRNA from 1 species
GUACACUCCUACGGGAGGCAGCAGUGGGGAAUAUUGGACAAUGGGCGCAAGCCUGAUCCAGCCAUGCCGCGUGAGUGAUGAAGGCCCUAGGGUUGUAAAGCUCUUUCACCGGUGAAGAUAAUGACGGUAACCGGAGAAGAAGCCCCGGCUAACUUCGUGCCAGCAGCCGCGGUAAUACGAAGGGGGCUAGCGUUGUUCGGAUUUACUGGGCGUAAAGCGCACGUAGGCGGACUAUUAAGUCAGGGGUGAAAUCCCGGGGCUCAACCCCGGAACUGCCUUUGAUACUGGUAGUCUUGAGUUCGAGAGAGGUGAGUGGAAUUCCGAGUGUAGAGGUGAAAUUCGUAGAUAUUCGGAGGAACACCAGUGGCGAAGGCGGCUCACUGGCUCGAUACUGACGCUGAGGUGCGAAAGCGUGGGGAGCAAACAGGAUUAGAUACCCCAGUAGUCCC